rnacentral:lncRNA from 1 species
GGAAGGAGCGGAAUCGGCGAAUUUUCAACCAUCAAGAGAUGGCCACAACCUCACUGCUGGCACAAAUCAAAGAGGAAGCAGGCACAUGGAUUUCAGCAGGGGCGAGAGCCUUAGCGUUCUUCUUAUCCAGAGAGUAAUCGCGUUAGAAAAAGGAAGAUUUUUAUAACUCUUUUGUAACAAUUUGUAAUUAUCUACUAUCUCAAUGAAAUAGGCACUAUCCCG